CCUGGUGGCUCAGAUGGUAAAGCAUCUGCCUACAAUGUAGGAGGCCUGGGUUCAAUCCCUGGGUCAGGA
rnacentral:tRNA from 1 species